rnacentral:rRNA from 1 species
UAUCAUUUAUUUCGUUAUAGAAUAUUUCUAUUAAAUAUUUAUUUAUUCUUCUUUAUUUUUUUACUUGAAUUAUUUAAUUAAUAUGGAAUUUAAUGGAAUAAUGAUUAAAUUAGUAUUUUUGUUAAUUAAACUAUAGGAACUCGGCAAGUUUAAUGCUCGCCUGUUUAACAAAAACAUGUCCUUUUGUUAUUUAUUUAAGGUCUAACCUGCCCAAUGAGGAAUUAAAUGGCCGCAGUAUUCUAACUGUGCUAAGGUAGCAUAAUCAUUUGUCUUUUAAUUGAGGGCUGGAAUGAAAGGUUGGACGAGGCAUUGACUUUCUUUAGUUUAUUUAUAUGAAUUUAAUUUUUAAGUUAAAAGGCUUAAAUUUAUUUGUUGGACGAGAAGACCCUAUAGAUCUUUAUAAUUUUAUAUUUUAAUAGUGUAGGGAUUAGUUUUAUUAAAAGUAGAAGAAUUAUUUUGUUGGGGUGACUGUAGAAUUUAAAUAACUUCUAUUUAUUUAUAUCAUUUAUUAAUGUUUUUUUGAUCCAUAAAUUUAUGAUUAAAAGAAUAAGUUACCUUAGGGAUAACAGCGUAAUUUUUUCGGAGAGUUCAUAUCGAUGAAAGAGUUUGCGACCUCGAUGUUGGAUUAAAAUAAGUAGUGGAUGCAGAAGUUUACUUACUAGGUCUGUUCGACCUUUAAAUUUUUACAUGAUCUGAGUUCAGACCGGCGUGAGCCAGGUCAGUUUCUAUCCUCAAUUUAAUUAGUAGAUUUUAGUACGAAAGGACCAAAUUUAUGGAAUAGUUUUUAUUUAUUUU